UUCGCAAUGCCCGAAAGGGUGACGAAGCGACGCCGCGUGUGGGAAGAAGGCCUUCGGGUUGUAGACCACUGUCGGGAGUUAAGAAAUACAAGGAUAUGAAUAGUGUCUUUGUUUGACUAAGGCUCCGGAGGAAGCCACGGCUAACUCUGUGCCAGCAGCCGCGGUAAUACAGAGGCGGCAAGCGUUGUUCGGAAUUAUUGGGCGUAAAGAGCACGUAGGCGGCUAUGUAAGUCGGUUGUGAAAGCCUUCCGCUCAACGGAAGAACAGCAUCCGAUACUACAUGGCUUGAGUGCGGGAGGGGAGAGUGGAACUUCUGGUGGAGCGGUGAAAUGCGUAGAUAUCAGAAGGAACGCCGGCGGCGAAAGCGGCUCUCUGGCCCAUAACUGACGCUGAGUGUGCGAAAGCUAGGGGAGCAAACGGGAUUAGAUACCCCGGUAGUCCUAGCCGUAAACGAUGGGCACUAAGUAGAGGGGUUUU
rnacentral:rRNA from 1 species